rnacentral:rRNA from 1 species
GUCUACAGCCAUGCCACCCUGAGCAAGCCCAAUCCCACCUGAUCUCAGAAGCUAAGGAGGGUCGGGCCUGGUUAAUACUUGGAUGGGAGACCACAUAGGAAGACCAGGUGCUGUAGGCG